rnacentral:rRNA from 1 species
CCUAACACAUGCAAGUCGAGCGGCAGCGGGAAAGUAGCUUGCUACUUUUGCCGGCGAGCGGCGGACGGGUGAGUAAUGCCUGGGAAAUUGCCCAGUCGAGGGGGAUAACAGUUGGAAACGACUGCUAAUACCGCAUAAUGUCUACGGACCAAAGUGUGGGACCUUCGGGCCACAUGCUAUCGGAUGCGCCUACGUGGGAUUAGCUAGUUGGUGAGGUAAUGGCUCACCAAGGCGACGAUCCCUAGCUGGUUUGAGAGGAUGAUCAGCCACACUGGAACUGAGACACGGUCCAGACUCCUACGGGAGGCAGCAGUGGGGAAUAUUGGACAAUGGGCGCAAGCCUGAUCCAGCCAUGCCGCGUGUGUGAAGAAGGCCUUCGGGUUGUAAAGCACUUUCAGUAGGGAGGAAGCGUUGUGUGUUAAUAGUACACAGCGUUGACGUUACCUACAGAAGAAGCACCGGCUAACUCUGUGCCAGCCGCCGCGGUAAUAC